rnacentral:misc_RNA from 1 species
GAUGAAGAACGCAGCGAAAUGCGAUAAGUAAUGUGAAUUGCAGAAUUCAGUGAAUCAUCGAAUCUUUGAACGCACCUUGCACCCUUUGGCAUUCCGAAGGGUAUGCUCGUUUGAGUGUCAUUGUACUCUCACACUCCCAAUUGCUUUGGAUUGGGAGCGGUGGACUUGGGUGUUGCUGCUUGACUGAGGCUCACCUGAAAUAUGUUAGUGCACCUCUUGAUUGGACAUAGUACGGCGUGAUAAGUGUCUUCGCCGGCUCCUCGCAAAGAGGGUGGCCGAUCGGGAGCUCUGUUGCUUCAAACUGUCUUCGGACAAUCUUCUGGCGACUUGACCUCAAAUCGAGUAGGACUACCCGCUGAACUUAAGCAUAUCAAUAAGCGGAUGA